AUUGAACGCUGGCGGCAGGCUUAACACAUGCAAGUCUAACGGGGAAAGCUUUCGGGUGAGUACUAGUGGCGCACGGGUGAGUAACGCGUGGAUAAUCUGCCCUCGAAUGGGGAAUAACUAGUCGAAAGAUUAGCUAAUACCGCAUAAGACCACGACUGCUGAGGUAGUUGGGGUCAAAGGAGCAAUUCGUUUGAGGAUGAGUCCGCGUAAGAUUAGCUAGUUGGUGAGGUAAUGGCUCACCAAGGCGAUGAUCUUUAACUGGUCUGAGAGGAUGAUCAGUCACAAUGGAACUGAGACACGGUCCAGACUCCUACGGGAGGCAGCAGUAGGGAAUAUUGGACAAUGGGGGCAACCCUGAUCCAGCGACGCCGCGUGAGCGAUGAAGGCCUUCGGGUCGUAAAGCUCUGUUGUAAGGGAAAAAGUUCUGAUUGUACCUUACGAGAAAGGAUCGGCUAACUUCGUGCCAGCAGCCGCCGUAA
rnacentral:rRNA from 1 species